rnacentral:rRNA from 1 species
UGAGGAAUAUUGGUCAAUGGGCGAGAGCCUGAACCAGCCAAGUCGCGUGAAGGAAGACUGCCUUAUGGGUUGUAAACUUCUUUUAUACAGGAAUAAAAAGGCUUACGUGUAGGCCAUUGCAAGUACUGUAUGAAUAAGCAUCGGCUAACUCCGUGCCAGCAGCCGCGGUAAUACGGAGGAUGCGAGCGUUAUCCGGGUUUAUUGGGUUUAAAGGGUGCGCAGGCGGGCUUUUAAGUCAGCGGUGAAAUCUGGACGCUUAACGUCCAAACUGCCGUUGAAACUGGGAGUCUUGAGUAUGGAUGAAGUAGGCGGAAUUCGUUGUGUAGCGGUGACAUGCAUAGAUAUAACGAGGAACUCCGAUUGCGUAGGCAGCUUACUAAGCCAUAACUGACGCUCAUGCACGAAAGCGUGGGGAUCAAACAGGAUUAGAUACCCUGGUAGUCCACGCCGUAAAACGAUGAUUACUAGUUGUAUGCGAUAUGAUAGUAUGUGACUAAGCGAAAGCGAUAAGUAAUCCACCUGGGGAGUACGCCGGCAACGGUGAAACUUAAAUGAAUUGACGGGGUCAUAGCUGUUUCCUG